rnacentral:rRNA from 1 species
CCUACGGGAGGCUGCAGUGAGGAAUAUUGGUCAAUGGCCGGAAGGCUGAACCAGCCAUGCCGCGUGAAGGUCAGUGCCCUAUGGGCGUUAAACUUCUUUUGUGCGGGAGCAAUAAUGGUCACGUGUGGCCAGACGAGAGUACCGUACGAAUAAGCAUCGGCUAACUCCGUGCCAGCAGCCGCGGUAAUACGGGGGAUGCAGGCGUUAUCCGGAUUUAUUGGGUUUAAAGGGUGCGUAGGCUGGGAGGUAAGUCAGCGGUGAAAUGCCCCCGCUCAACGGGGUGAAGUGCCAUUGAUACUGGCUGGCUGGAAUGCGGAUGCCGUGGGAGGAAUGGGUGGUGUAGCGGUGAAAUGCAUAGAUAUCACACAGAACACCGAUUGCGAAGGCAUCUCACGAAUCCGCGAUUGACGCUGAUGCACGAAAGCGUGGGUAUCAAACAGGAUUAGAUACCCGUGUAGUC